GGAGGGAUACCCAAGCGGCCAAAGGGGGCUGACUGUAAAUCAGCUGGCACUGCCUUCGGUGGUUCGAAUCCACCUCCCUCCACCA
rnacentral:tRNA from 3 species